rfam:Pichia angusta strain DL-1 mitochondrion, complete genome.
GGGAUGAUAGUUUAAUUGGUAAAACGCUUGACUUUUAAUCAACUUAUAUUCGGUUCAACUCCGGUUCGUCCUA